rnacentral:rRNA from 1 species
GAUGAACGCUGGCGGCGUGCCUAAUACAUGCAAGUCGAGCGAACAGACGAGGAGCUUGCUCCUCUGACGUUAGCGGCGGACGGGUGAGUAACACGUGGAUAACCUACCUAUAAGACUGGGAUAACUUCGGGAAACCGGAGCUAAUACCGGAUAAUAUAUUGAACCGCAUGGUUCAAUAGUGAAAGACGGUUUUGCUGUCACUUAUAGAUGGAUCCGCGCCGCAUUAGCUAGUUGGUAGGGUAACGGCUUACCAAGGCGACGAUGCGUAGCCGACCUGAGAGGUGAACGGCCCAACCUGAACCUAGAACCCGGUCCGACCUCUACCGGGAGGAGCCGUAGGGAAUCCUUCGCAAUGGGCGAAAGCCUGACGGAGCAACGCCGCGUGAGUGAUGAAGGUCUUCGGAUCGUAAAACUCUGUUAUUAGGGAAGAGCAAAUGUGUAAGUAACUAUGCACGUCUUGACGGUACCUAAUCAGAAAGCCACGGCUAACUACGUG